AAACCAACAGGGAUUGCCCUAGUAACGGCGAGUGAAGCGGCAACAGCUCAAAUUUGAAAUCUGGCCUCGGCCCGAGUUGUAAUUUGCAGAGGAUGUUUCUGGCGCGGUGCCUUCCGAGUUCCCUGGAACGGGACGCCACAGAGGGUGAGAGCCCCGUAUGGUCGGACACCAAGCCUGUGUGAAACUCCUUCGACGAGUCGAGUAGUUUGGGAAUGCUGCUCUAAAUGGGAGGUAAAUCUCUUCUAAAGCUAAAUACCGGCCAGAGACCGAUAGCGCACAAGUAGAGUGAUCGAAAGAUGAAAAGCACCUUGAAAAGGGGGUUAAAUAGUACGUGAAAUUGUUGAAAGGGAAGCACUUGUGACCAGACUUGGGCCGGGCGGCUCAUCAGGGGUUCUCCCCUGUGCACUCCGCCCGGCACAGGCCAGCAUCGGUUCUCGUGGGGGGAUAAGACCGUCGGGAACGUAGCACCCUCCGGGGUGUGUUAUAGCCCGGCGGACGAUACCCUCGUGGGGACCGAGGUUCGCGCUCCGCAAGGAUGCUGGCGUAAUGGUCACCAGUGAC
rnacentral:rRNA from 1 species